GACUCUGUGGCACAAUUGUUUAGCGCGUUAGACUGUUAAUCUAAAGGUUGGUGGUUCGAGCCCACCCAGGGAUGACA